rnacentral:lncRNA from 1 species
GGUGGAAUUUUAUUUCUUCUUUUGAUAUGAUAACCAGAAUAUUGCAUAAAAUAAUUAAAUUGUCAUGACAGGUAAUGUCUGCAAAUAGGCCCAGCCUUUUGUUUCCUUCUUUAAGGUAAACAGCUGCUGUUGGUUUAUGAAAAGCUAAAAUUGAUCCAACAAGAAGCCACACAGAAAUCAGAGGCUUGAUUAAUACUGUUGCCUGUAGCUUUGUGAUAUGUAUGGUUUAAAUUAGACCUUUGCAGCAUUGUGCUGGGUUGGUGCAAGCACACUAAUGACAUAAUUUCUGGUUGCUGCAUCACAUUUCUGCAGUCGGGCUUUGUAUUCCACUCACAUUAAUUGAAGUAAUUUUGCCAGUGAAGCGUGUUUCAAACCUCUGCAUUUAAAUUGAAAUUUUAAUUCCCUUAUUGUCUUGAAAAGACGGCUGAAGAUGCCUUGUUACAGGUUUCAUUAUCACUCAAAACACUCCAGCUGCUGGUUUUAAUGUACAAUGACUGAUUAAUUCUGGAAACAAUUAUUAAUAUAAGAAUAGCAGCUUCUUCCCAGUGGCGUGAGUAACCAGGAAGGUAUUUCAUGAGAGUUAAUAUUUUUAUGAACUUUUUUCCCCCCAGGGAGAAUUUGUGUGUAGAAGUCUGCAUCAUAUGAAAAUUGUAGGGAAUGCUUUGAAAACCACUUACACAAGUUCUGACUUAUCAGCUGUAGAAGUCAAUUCAUAAUUGCAUUCAAUCAGUGGAAACCAAGGCAGUGGAAGUCGUUUAGAAGCACUUUAGCUGACAGUCACAUAAGACUUGUGACGAAAAUAAAUUUCCAUUUCUAAGCCUGCCUGAGAUUGUAGAGAUUUUAAAUGUCUUUUUAAUCAUUUUGUCUUUAUUUAUACGCCUUUAUAAAAAGAAUCCAUAGCUAUAUAGUCCGAUGAGGAUUAUUAUGAUAAUUAUAAUAACAUAUUUAUGUAGUUGUCUUUUCCCCAGAGGCUCUCAGAAUGCCUUUCUUUGAGCAUUGUGUAACGGAGGCAUUUUACUCAUACUUUGAAAAUAUGGCCCUAUCUGGGAUAAAGACCGCAAGGCAGCUAUUUAAUUGAGUAGUUUUCUAGAAUCCUAUAAUAAACGUAUUGUCAUAUUUUCAGUUCCUAUUACUUUUUGAAGCUGAUAUUGAGAACAGUAUGGGUUUUAGUUGUGUAAGACCUAGACUUGAAUCUUCGCUUUGACUCCUAGCAGCAGUAUGGCCAAUCAUUUAUCUUUGCUGAAGGCUCUGAUGUUUAUUGAAAGAUUUAAAUUAACCACACUGCACAUUAUAAGUUCUUUAAAUAUUUAUAGUUAUUCAAUUUUUUAAUUGGUACAUAUUUUAUAUGUAUUGGUAUUUGCCUACAUGUAUGACUUUGCCCCUUUUACAUGCCUGACGCCCUCAGGAAGUCCAUUAAAGGACAACAGAUCCUCUAAAACUGGAGGUACAGAAGGGUGUGAACUGCCAUGGAGGUACUGGGAAUCGAACCUGUGUCCUCUGGAAGAGCAACCAUUGCUCUUAACUGCUGAACCAUCUCUCCAGGCCCUAGACCAUUAAAAAAAAAACCCAUGUGGUUAUACAAAUUUUGAUCACUUCUGUUGUUGGUCUGGUUGUGAAGGUAGUCUUAAGAGCUCAUGUGCCAGCAGGGUGAGAGAGAGGAAACAGUGUUCAUCAUGUGAUAAGUACGGGGCGGGGGCAUGCAGAGAAAAAGGGAUGCUAGGGAGAGUGGGGGUAGGGAUUUUGGGGUAAUCCCCCUGUGGCUGCUUUUAGCCUUUUUCGAAAGCCUUCAUCCUCAAACAUCUGUCUGAUAAGUUAGGAAAAGCUAAAACAAAGUUAUUGACUGAAUUGGCUUUUGUGUCCCAAAUUAAUGUAUAGAUUUGUGGUAAUUGCAGCUUUUUUUCCUACAGAAUUAAAACUCAGAACUUUGUAGUAUGUAUUUUUCCUGUUGUUCAGAUCUCUUUUUGAACAACAGCAUUUGGCUAUGAUAGGGAGGGUUUUUAAAAAUCAGACAGUUCUGUAGAUGCCUUCACUUUUAUUUCUUUCAAAUCUGCUAUUCAUUUACCUCUGUUAUCUUUAAAAUCAAUAGAAAUUCCAUUUCAUCGUGUGAGCCCCUCAUGCGGCUUAGCAAUUUUUAUUUAAUUUAUCUGGAGCAGUGAUUUCUAAAUUGUUCAUUGAGGAUCUUUCAAAAAUUGUAAAGUCUAGGCCACAACCCAGUCUGAUGAAAUUGAAGUCUCUGGUUGUGGACUGCUGGCUUUGGUCAUUUUUGACAGUCUC